rnacentral:misc_RNA from 1 species
AAGAUUGGCCGAAAGGCCUCAUCUCUAUAUCCCUCACCUCUGUGAACUGUGGACCUCUGGGUCUAUCUUAACAAACAUCAGUGUAAUGAACGUGUAUAAUAUUAAUAAAACA